AGGCUAAUUGUAGGGUGACUUAGACCCAGGGCACCACAGAUGGUCAGAACUGGAAAGAUUCAUGGAGGUCAUUUCAUCUGGCCGGGGCCCAGAAGGACUAGGAGAUGUGCCUGCAGUCCCUCAAGGGGAGUCAAACAUCAAGAGGCUACAGGGCGCCGGGUGCGGUGGCUCACGUCUGUAAUGCCGGCACUUCAGGAGGUCGAGGCGGGCGGAUCAUCUGACGUCAGGAGUUUGAGACCAGCCUGGCCAACGUGGUGAAACCCUGUCUCUACUAAUAAUAAAAAACUAGCUGGG